GGAGAGAUGACAGAGUGGUUUAUUGUAGUUGAUUUGAAAUCAAAUGAAUAUUUUUAUUACGUAGGUUCGAAUCCUAUUCUCUUCU
rnacentral:tRNA from 1 species